GUGGGGAAUAUUGGGCAAUGGGGGAAACCCUGACCCAGCAACGCCGCGUGAAGGAAGAAGGCUUUCGGGUUGUAAACUUCUUUUAUGAGGGACGAAGAAGUGACGGUACCUCAUGAAUAAGCCACGGCUAACUACGUGCCAGCAGCCGCGGUAAUACGUAGGUGGCAAGCGUUGUCCGGAUUUACUGGGUGUAAAGGGCGCGUAGGCGGGAUAGCAAGUCAGGUGUGAAAUCCGGGGGCUUAACCCUCGAACUGCACUUGAAACUGUUAUUCUUGAGUGAUGGAGAGGCAAGCGGAAUUCCUAGUGUAGCGGUGAAAUGCGUAGAUAUUAGGAGGAACACCAGUGGCGAAGGCGGCUUGCUGGACAUUAACUGACGCUGAGGCGCGAAAGCGUGGGGAGCAAACAGGAUUAGAUACCCCGGUAGUCC
rnacentral:rRNA from 1 species